rfam:Pantoea ananatis LMG 20103, complete genome.
UCGCGUAGUUAAGCGUGCGGGAUGAGAACCUGCAGCAGGUUCGACUGAAUCGCGCAGCGAUUCAGGCUGAUGCGUCAGCAUUACCCGGAGGGCGAGGCCCGCCCGCUGAGGCAAUCCUGCACGACCCACCC